AUACGGAGGAUCCGAGCGUUAUCCGGAUUUAUUGGGUUUAAAGGGUGCGUAGGCGGCCUUCUAAGUCAGCGGUGAAAGUCUGUGGCUCAACCAUAGAAUUGCCGUUGAAACUGGGAGGCUUGAGUAUGUUUGAGGCAGGCGGAAUGCGUGGGGUAGCGGGGAAAUGCUUAGAUAUUACGCAGAACCCCGAUUGCGAAGGGAGCCUGCCAAGCCAUGACUGACGCUGAUGCACGAAAGCGUGGGGAUCAAACAGGAUUAGAUACCCUGGUAGUCCACGCAGUAAACGAUGAUCGCUAGCUGUUUGCGAUACAGUGUAAGCGGCACAGCGAAAGCGUUAAGUGAUCCACCUGGGGAGUACGCCGGCAACGGUGAAACUCAAAUGAAUUGACGGGG
rnacentral:rRNA from 1 species